CUCGUUCACAUUUCUCUUUACUUCAGUGAUGGCACUUGAAAGAACUAAUUUAAAAGAACCUGAUUAAUGCAUUAAAUACAAAUAAUACCUCUGCACCCAAGGUCCAAAAUUGGACCUCAAUUCAAAUAAAUUACCAGUCCAGCAGACUAACAUUUAAUAUACCCAGGAAGGCCUUGACCUAAAACUAAUGAAGACACACAUCUACUGUGUAAGGUAUCUUUUUUUUCAGACUGUGUAUCAUCUCUAAUUCCACAUCCUUAAAGGAAAGGGACAUGGCAGCCUUUUAGAGCCACACAAUUCAAAGCAUACAUUGAGUUGCUGUAGCUUUUUUUUCUUCUUCUUUUUUAUGGUUUUGUUUCAGCAUUUUCCUAUUUUUUUCACUUUUUCAUCCUUUGUUUGCUCAGCUGAAUGUUCUGAAGGCCUUUGAUACAUCAUGAAUUACAGCACAGUGGGCCAGUUUGAUUAUUGUACUUGGGGAAGGUCUUUUUUUCUGCAGUGGAAACGCACACGGCCGACUCUCAGCUGGCCUAAAAACGGCCAACUAAAGACGUGGCACAGCGCCAGCAUAGGUCCGUUUGAAAGGCAGACCUAAGCUGGAAGCACACCAUCACAGUCAGGGGUUUGCUGGUGAAAAAGUGUGCUGCUGUAAAUGUGUUUCAGAAGUCAUGGAUCCAACAGUUAAACUGCUAUCUAUACCAGUAUGGAAAUAGCAUGAAAGCUGAGGUCAGAUAAGUACACUUGUAGAGAAUUAGUAACCUCUGGAAGCUACCCACAGAUUGUAAAAAAAAACAAUAUUUCAACGGUUUAUAACCUACAAUAUGCGUGUGCUACAUUUCAAGUUUUAUAGUAAUUCAAUUCUAUUUUGAAAUGAAAUGUCCCAAUGGAAUGGAGUGGCGUUUCAAUGCACUGACAUUGAAAUACCUUGCUUUGCUAUUGCAGAGGUGCUUUUAAAGUGGUAAUCAAAGCAGAACUGUUUGUAUGACUAGAAGUUCCAUUGAUAAAAGCACCUCAUUCUCACUUUAUAGUGAAGCAGAGCUCUUUAAAAGUUAAUAAGCACUAAGAUAUUAAAUCAAACUGAAAGGAAAUAAAAGAUGUGAGUGUGUAUCUUUGGGGUUUCCCAGGUGACAAGACUGUUAAGAUAAUUAAAAUCGCAUAUAAUGUGUGUGACCAGAGUUACUCAUUAACUACUGGACAAAUCUGGUUGAUUACUUCGUGACCAGUUCCCAUUUUCUACUCCAUUGAACCUUCAAUGUAUUGAUUAAGUUUAUUAUGUUCCUUUUUUAAUGUCCUGUGCCUCACAAAUCACCCUCUGUCUUGUCCUUUUCAUGUGCUUGCUAUCGCUUGGUUCUGAACAGCAAACAGCGAUCGAGUUGUGAACUACAACAUGAGAAGGUGAAGAGACAAGCAGACAGGUAGACAGAAGGACAGUGCUUGUUUAACUGAGGCCCUCCUGUAGAAUGUGCCAUGUACAUGAAGAAGGUGUUUGCCUCUUUUCUAUCUGCUGCCAACAGUUUCAUUUCAAGUUCUAAAAACCUAUUUAGGGUCUAUUCAGUUGAUGUAUCGAGUGACAGAUCUAAAUACGGCCAUAAUUUACAUCAUUUAAAAGAAGGGGACUCGUGUCAGUUGAAUUCUAAUAAAAUAUUCGAAAAAGUAAAUAUUACAAAAACUGCACAUUGUCAAACUGUCUGGAGCCAAAUGCUCCAGGAACAUCCACAUCCAGGAGUAUCUACUCAUAAACCUAAAUCACUAUUUUACCCCAAACCUUUAAAUGAAUCCUAACCAUAAUGUCACUAUCAAAUCACAAAAAACUAUUCAGUCCCCCAGCGGGAUGAUUGACAUAAUAUUCACUGUACAACAGGAGCAUUUAGUACUGGGCUAAUGAACAACUUAUUUAAAAAAAAACUAGCUAGAAUAAACUAAUUUGCCAUCUUUCUAGUUUUACAAUAAUAAUGCUAUUUUAUUCCUUUCAAUACAAAAAUAGGACAAAUACUGAAUUUGCUCCAAAAUUCAACCUGAUGAUUUUAAAUGUGUUUGUCCUAAAAGAUGAAAUGCAGUGACAUGUUGGUUAUGGUUAAUUCAUUCAAAUGGAAUUCCCUUUCAGUUUUUGACCAGGAAAAUAAAAAAUGGUAAGUGACCAAUAUUUUUUUUUUUUUUUUACAGGACUUAAAAUUGUCAUUUAUACCAUCAAACACAAUUAAGGGGUUACUGAGCGGACAUAUCUCUCUGCUUCAAUUCAGAAAGCAAUUCAGGUGCAUCCAAAAACAAGAUCUAAGUAUUUCAAAAGCCCUCAUAGAGCAAGCACUAUUAGUGAAUUCCCCAUCAGUACCAUCAACAGUCAUUUUAUGUAUAUAUUAUUUAAUUAUGUAGGGACCCAUUUUAUUUAUUUAUUUAUUUAUUUAUUUUUUGGUUUCCUUUUGUUACCAUGUUAAAAAUGUCGACCUUUUUUUCACAGGUUUCCUGUAGAUCAUAAUUUUGAAGAAAAAACAAAAACAAUGCCGCCCCUGAGAUUCAAUGACAUCAUUCCCAUUUGUACUGGGAGAACUAUUCCAGUAUUAGAACAACGAAUAUGUCUGUAUUGGUUCAUAUAACUGUAUUUAUAACAAAAUUCUGUAACAAAACAAUAUCAUGCAAUGGAAAGCAAUACAUCAAUGACAUCUAAACUAAUUACACACAAUCUACUAUAUAGAAGCGUGUUUCUCUCCUUUCUUAAUAGUUGAGUUGAUGUAUUGCCUGUUGAUUCAAAAUGAAACAAUAUUGGCAUAGUAGUUUAAAUUGUGAAAGAAUAUUCAAGCAUAAAAAAAAAAUCCAGUAAUGAUUUGCAUUUCAAGUUUCUAACUUGAGUUUGUCUGACUAGUUUUCAUCUAAAGUCUGUUUCACAGCAAUCAAAAAGUUAUUUCCAUCUUCACAACAACCCUGAGUUUCCGUUGGAACAGGAUGCUCUCUCUAGGCACCCAAUGAGCUCAGAGCGGAUACCUGCAGGGCUGGCCUUUCUCCUCCAGAGGUCAGUUAGCCCGCUGACACCCACUGUCGAGUUCCUGGGUCUAAACGAGGAUGCUGGCUUGGUCGUGGGAUCGGAGGACGCCCACUAAAUCUUUGGAUCGCCUGAGCUGUGUGGGGAAUUGCUGCGGUGAGGAGAAAAAUAAUUGGACAUUCCUAAUUUGGGAGUAAAAUAAUUGAGCACGCUAACUUAAAAAAAAAAAUUAAAAAUUAAAAAUGUAUUUUUCUUACCUCAUAGUUUUAUAAAUAUCAGUACUUGUGUAUUGUGCUGAUAAUCUCUUGGUUGCUCUUGUUUUUCAUGUUAAUUUGUGAUUUGCAAAUAUUUCUGCAUCAUGAUACCUAGGUUGGACACAUGUUCUGAAGCACAAGGACAGCUACAAUGAUAUGAGCCAUGUGGUAUUACAAGGUUAUGAAGCAUCACACUGGCAUACAGUACCGUAGUACCAUAUCAGAAUCAAUGUGUUAACAAAGCUGUGCAAUACUUGUUUUCAGGGUAACAUUAUCAUGGUUUCCAUUGGUAUUUUACAAGGACAAAGAUAACACCAAAUAACACAUGCAGGUAGAUGUCUGGAGGAAAGUACCUCAUGACUCUUGACAAAUAAAAAAUGAUGUGGAUUAUCUCAACUGUAAAACAUGUGCCGCACCCAAUUAUUUUGACAUGGAAGCUAUCAACAAAAACUUUUCUGACUUCUGAAUUCCCUGGAAAUUUGCUUCAAGAAAAAAAAAAAAAAAACAACGUUAAUGUAACAAACAACAGCACUGUCUAAUCAGAAAAGUUAUGCAAGACGAGUAAAACCACCGCUCAACAGACAGAGAAAGCACAUGCAGCCCAAAUAAUGUCCUUUUAGGGCCCUUUUUGCAUACCCUUAAGACACCUCUGGUUCACUAAUUUGCUUUGCUUUGCUUUGUUAAACAUUCUCCUACUUCUGUACUACCAAGCUGUUUCACGGUGUAGGCCUCAUUAUAAAACAAAUCACUACUAAAAUACACUUUAUAACCAUGCAGACCAUUUGAGUGCUGUUGUUGCACACUUCUGAAUGGUUUGCUGACACUUUGCAGUUUAUGCCCUCCUAUUGGUCUAACAAAUACAAGAGAAGCAUGGACUAUGACCCACAGGAGGAAUGUCCGCCCUACAGGCAGGCGUUUAACUCAAAUGUCAGGGGACUAAUGGACAUUUCCAUCACAGAAUCACUUGGAACUAAUUGAAGGCUAAUGCUUAACACAGCAAAGUUUACACCAAUGUGCACAUCAGGGCUGCAGGGCCUAGCCAGGCCUGGAGGCACUAUUAAAUUUGAGGAACUUUUAGGUCAAGGCAUGCAAGUUACAUGUAUAGGUCUUUUUUAUUACACUUAACCUUUUGCCUAUGUUGAAUUAAAUAAAACUAAUAUUUUCACUGCUGUGAAAUAAAACAGAUACCGACUGGGACAUUAAUAAAUGUGAAAUAUUGCAUGGCAUCCACAAAAAUGUAGGAUAUAAAUACUAAAUGGGUAGUAUGGAACUAAAACAGGCCCACAAAGAAAAAGACAUUGACCAUGUAGAGGACCGCUCGCUGUCAGCCUCCAGGCAGUGUGGGGAGGCAAUUAAUCUACUAACAUAAUGCUUGGUAACAUAGUCAAAUGUGUACAGUAUAAUUAAAGAAAUCUAGGUUAUGAUGAGGUUGUCUAAUACCCUGGUGAGAAUACAGGGUUUAGUUUUGGUAUUCACAUUCUGGUUUUGGAAAUAGUUCAGAAAACAGCAACUAGACUACUCACAAGGCUAAAGGGUAUGAGUUAGGAGGAGAGUUUGAGGGAACUGAACCCAUUUAGCCUGUAAAACAGAAGGGACUCAGAAUUAUAAAAGGGACCAACAAAGUCAACCCCAGCCACUAAUUCAAGCAGCCCUGAGACCAGGACGAGAGGAUACAUGUGGAGGUUGAGUAGAGACGUUCAGGACAGAGGGCAGCAGGCACUGUUUCACUCAGAGAGUGUAGGGUGUAGGGAAUUGGUUGCCAAGUCAUUAUGUUGCUGCUGUAUGCAGCAGUAUGGGUUCUGGCCAGGAACAAUUAGCUUUGGUAUUGGGAAACGGACAAGCAUUGACGGGCUUCCUCUCAUUCGUAACCAUACUAAUAUUCUCCAAGAAUGUCUCUCCGCUGGGACACAGGAUGUGGCCAGAUAUCAGCAUCUAUUUGAUAAACUAAA